AGUCGAGCGGAGAUGAGGUGCUUGCACCUUAUCUUAGCGGCGGACNGGUGAGUAAUGCUUAGGAAUCUGCCUAUUAGUGGGGGACAACAUUCCGAAAGGAAUGCUAAUACCGCAUACGUCCUACGGGAGAAAGCAGGGGAUCUUCGGACCUUGCGCUAAUAGAUGAGCCUAAGUCGGAUUAGCUAGUUGGUGGGGUAAAGGCCUACCAAGGCGACGAUCUGUAGCGGGUCUGAGAGGAUGAUCCGCCACACUGGGACUGAGACACGGCCCAGACUCCUACGGGAGGCAGCAGUGGGGAAUAUUGGACAAUGGGGGGAACCCUGAUCCAGCCAUGCCGCGUGUGUGAAGAAGGCCUUAUGGUUGUAAAGCACUUUAAGCGAGGAGGAGGCUACUGAGACUAAUACUCUUGGAUAGUGGACGUUACUCGCAGAAUAAGCACCGGCUAACUCUGUGCCAGCA
rnacentral:rRNA from 1 species